AUGCUUGAUGUCAUCUUCACAACCCCCAUCCAGGAUCUUGCUGGUUUGCCUUCGUCACCCCAACGCUACACCAUGUUUAUUUGGUUUCUGAUGACCUCCCGUGCGACAUUGCUGGUAUGUUUUGCCUUCCUGCUGUGCUUGCAAGCAUUUGGCAUCUACUGCAAUCUUGAGAUGAUGCAUGUGCUGCCUAAUUUUCUACUACUAAAUCACAAAGCCAUGUUCCGAUUACUGGCAACAAGAAUCAACACGAUAACUCAUUCUGUUACAUGCUCUAAACUAUUUUAUUGGAGUUUGCUAAUUCCAUGUACUGGAAGCAAUAGCCUACAAAUUUGA
rnacentral:rRNA from 1 species